rnacentral:rRNA from 1 species
UUUUGGACAAUGGGGGCAACCCUGAUCCAGCCAUGCCGCGUGGGUGAAGAAGGCCUUCGGGUUGUAAAGCCCUUUCGGCGGGGACGAAAUCGCGGGGGUGAGAAGCCUUCGUGGAUGACGGUACUCGCAGAAGAAGCACCGGCUAACUACGUGCCAGCAGCCGCGGUAAUACGUAGGGUGCGAGCGUUAAUCGGAAUUACUGGGCGUAAAGCGUGCGCAGGCGGUUAUAUAAGACAGUUGUGAAAUCCCCGGGCUCAACCUGGGAAUUGCAUCUGUGACUGUAUAGCUAGAGUACGGUAGAGGGGGAUGGAAUUCCGCGUGUAGCAGUGAAAUGCGUAGAUAUGCGGAGGAACACCGAUGGCGAAGGCAAUCCCCUGGACCUGUACUGACGCUCAUGCACGAAA